GGUGUCGAGCAAUUUACUCUCGUAUUAGGAUUGGCUAAAUUCACGGACCGAUCUCCACCAUGUUGCAAUGCGGGAGAUUAGCUGGGAUCUGGUAUAACAUCCAUCGAUGGACGAGAAUGCCUUCGUCUAUCUGGGCCUUCACAGCAAUUGCCACGUGUUACCAAACUAGUUUACGCUUACUCCGUUUUGAUCAAUGGUCUUUCAUCCCUAAACUGACGCGCUACCAACUGGCAUAGAGGAGCCCCUGUAUACAGCAAUCAGGCCCCCAUGAAUGGAUACUCUUUCACAGUCUGCAGCUAACGGUGACACUGAGGUUCAAUCGCCUGAGCUACUAUUUGUCGCUUUUGUAGGCUUCCAAAUAGAAGCCUCAGAUGGCGCAUAUCUGAUCUUGCAGAUUCUUAAUCUCCCGUCUCGCACGCUACACAAAUUGCAACACCAAGAUCAGAAAUCGACGUCCUGUCCUUAUAUCCAAAACAUCAACCAUAUGAUGGGCACCUCAGGAACUGAUGAAAAUACCA
rnacentral:sRNA from 1 species